rnacentral:rRNA from 1 species
UACGUAGGGGGCAAGCGUUAUCCGGAUUUACUGGGUGUAAAGGGAGCGUAGACGGCAGUGCAAGUCUGGAGUGAAAGGCGGGGGCUCAACCCCCGGACUGCUCUGGAAACUGUACGGCUGGAGUGCAGGAGAGGUAAGUGGAAUUCCUAGUGUAGCGGUGAAAUGCGUAGAUAUUAGGAGGAACACCAGUGGCGAAGGCGGCCUGCUAGACUGCAACUGACGUUGAGGCCCGAAAGCGUGGGGAGCAAACAGG